rnacentral:tRNA from 1 species
GGGGCUAUAGCUCAGUUGGUAGAGCGCGUCGUUCGCAAUGACGAGGUCAAGGGUUCGAUUCCCUUUAGCUCCA